rnacentral:lncRNA from 1 species
AACAAUAAGGGAUGGUCAUCGGUGAAUGAAGGAGACAUGUUCGGUAAUCUGAGAAUGAAGUCAUGAAGGUAGGAUCGUGGGCAAGGUGAUUCGGAUGGAUCAGGAGCGAUUCCGACACUCCGAUUCAUUAAGGUACAUAAUGAGGUAAAUGUACUCUUAAUGUUGAUGUUAUGGCUUUAUUAUGUUUAUGAACGUGUUCAGUAUGGUAUUGGCAUGUUUUUAAGUAUGUUUUUGUUAAGUUGAUUUCUCGCCGGAAGUCUCGUCG